UACGAGGGGGGCAACUGUUGUUCGGAAUCACUGGGCGUAAAGGGAGCGUAGGCGGGUUCUUAAGUUAGGUGUUUAAUCCCGGGGCCCAACCCCGGACCGGCACUUAAAACUGGGAAUCUUGAAUAGUGGAGAGGUCGGUGGAAUUGGAGGUGUAGCGGUGGAAUGCGUAGAGAUCUCCAAGAACACCAGUUGCGAAGGCGGCCGACUGGACACAUAUUGACGCUGAGGCUCGAAAGCAUGGGGAGCAAACAGG
rnacentral:rRNA from 1 species